UCCACACCGGAUAGCUCCCACGAGGAAUUUCUAAUCAGCAAAUUGCUAUUAAUGAGAUGAUGGAUGGAUGUUUACGACACUUAACACCACGCACAUCAAAAACUAUAGCUAAUUACGUUGGCACAUUAGUGAUCUUUUGAUGUCAGACUCUAAUACCUGCAUGCUAAUACGCCUGCGGAGAAAAAAAAAAAAGAAUCGCGGUUCUCAUGUUUCCCAGUGGAGGUGAUUUUCACCCCACUGACCCAGACGGUUACACCAUUAGCCAGAUGGACAACCAGCAGCAGUAUCCCAGGGCCCUAGAGCGUCUCUCCAUGGAGAUCUUACACCAAACUGUUUACUGUAUUUUUCUGCAGGGAGCGGCAACAGCGAACCCGUGAGGAGAUAAGAAAUGAAGGGUGUUAGCCAUCUAGUGGUCGAUGGCGGAAUGGCAGCCGAGAAGCACCACGCUGGAUCGAUUUGUCAAUCCAUUGCUAUGAGGAACCUAGGCCAGGUUGUAGACUGAAGGUGUUGUCAUGGAAAUACAGGGAUGGGUUCAGGGCUACCUUAUUUAGAAUGAUUAGACACCAUAACGCUAAUAACACAUGCAAUAUAAAAACCAUCAGAUUAAAAAAAAAAAAAAAAAAACCAUCGUUAAUUUAG